rnacentral:rRNA from 1 species
GACGAACGCUGGCGGCGUGCUUAACACAUGCAAGUCGAACGGAAAGGCCCCCUUGUGGGGUACUCGAGUGGCGAACGGGUGAGUAACACGUGAUUAACCUACCCUUGCCUUUGGGAUAACUUCAGGAAACUGGGGCUAAUACCGGGUCGGAGGUCCUGCCGCAUGGUGGGGGGUGGAAGGUUUCGGCGGUUGGUGGUGGGGUGGCGGCCUAUCAGCUUGUUGGUGGGGUAGUGGCUCACCAAGGCUUUGACGGGUACCCGGCCUGAGAGGGUGACCGGCCACGCUGGGAUGGAACUACGGCCCAGACUCCUCCGGUAGGCAGCGGUGGGGAAGAUUGUACAAGGGGCGGAAGCCUGAUGCAGCAACGCCGCGCGCGGGAUGACGGCCUUCGGGUUGUAUACCACUUUCGCCUGUGACGAAGCGUGAGUGACGGUAAUGGGUAAAGAAGCACCGGCUAACUACGUG